UAGUAAUGGGCGAAAGCCUGAACUAGCAACGCCGCGUGUGCGAAGAAGGCCUUCGGGUUGUAAAGCACUUUUUGAGAGGAUGAGGAAGGACGGUACUCUCAGAAUAAGUCUCGGCUAACUACGUGCCAGCAGCCGCGGUAACACGUAGGAGGCGAACGUUAUCCGGAUUUACUGGGCGUAAAGCGCGUGUAGGUGGUUUGGUAAGUAGGGCGUGAAAGCUCCUGGCUCAACUGGGAGAGGCCGUUCUAAACUGCCGAACUAGAGGAUGGUAGAGGGAGGUGGAAUUCCGGGUGUAGCGGUGGAAUGCGCAGAUAUCCGGAGGAACACCAGUGGCGAAAGCGGCCUCCUGGACCACUCCUGACACUCAGACGCGAAAGCUAGGGUAGCAAACGG
rnacentral:rRNA from 1 species